GCCGCUGUGGUGGAAUGGUAGACACGGGGGACUUAAAAUCCCCUGCUCGAUUCUAGAGCGUCCCGGUUCAAGUCCGGGCGGCGGUACCA
rnacentral:tRNA from 1 species